UACCCUGGAUACAUAUGUUGUCUUUACAAUAGGUAGGACACGUCUGAGUACAGGUACUACCGUGAUAUCCGGCUAGGCAUUCUGAACAAGCUCCAGUAUAGCU